AUUGAACGCUGGCGGCAUGCUUUACACAUGCAAGUCGAACGGUAACAGGCCGCAAGGUGCUGACGAGUGGCGAACGGGUGAGUAAUGCAUCGGAACGUGCCCAGUCGUGGGGGAUAACUACUCGAAAGAGUAGCUAAUACCGCAUACGAUCUAUGGUUGAAAGCGGGGGACCUUAAGGCCUCGCGCGAUUGGAGCGGCCGAUGUCAGAUUAGGUAGUUGGUGGGGUAAAGGCUCACCAAGCCAACGAUCUGUAGCUGGUCUGAGAGGACGACCAGCCACACUGGGACUGAGACACGGCCCAGACUCCUACGGGAGGCAGCAGUGGGGAAUUUUGGACAAUGGGCGCAAGCCUGAUCCAGCAAUGCCGCGUGCAGGAAGAAGGCCUUCGGGUUGUAAACUGCUUUUGUACGGAACGAAACGGCUCUGGUUAAUACCCGGGGCUAAUGACGGUACCGUAAGAAUAAGCACCGGCUAACUACGUG
rnacentral:rRNA from 1 species